GAUGAACGCUGGCGGCGUGCCUAACACAUGCAAGUCGAACGGUAGCAGGUCUAGUUUACUAGAUGCUGACGAGUGGCGGACGGCUGAGUAACGCGUGGGAACGUGCCCUAAAGUGAGGGAUAACGCACCGAAAGGUGUGCUAAUACCGCAUAUGAUCUUCGGAUUAAAGAAUUUAUUCGCUUUAGGAGCGGCCCGCGUCGGAUUAGGUUGUUGGUGAGGUAAUUGCUCACCAAGCCGACGAUCCGUAGCUGGUCUGAGAGGAUGAUCAGCCACACUGGAACUGAGACACGGUCCAGACUCCUACGGGAGGCAGCAGUGGGGAAUAUUGGACAAUGGGCGCAAGCCUGAUCCAGCCAUACCGCGUGGGCGAAGAAGGCCUUCGGGUUGUAAAGCCCUUUUGUUGGGAAAGAAAUCCAUCUGGUUAAUACCCGGGUGGGAUGACGGUACCCAAAGAAUAAGCACCGGCUAACUUCGUGCCAGCCGCCGCCGUAA
rnacentral:rRNA from 1 species